UACAGAGGGUGCAAGCGUUGUCCGGAAUCAUUGGGCGUAAAGCGCGUGUAGGCGGCUCGGUAAGUCCGCUCUGAAAGUCCAAGGCUCAACCCAGGAAUUGCUUCGGAUACUGGCGUGCUUGAGGCCGGUAGGGGUCACUGGAACUGACGGUGGAGCGGUGAAAUGCGUAGAUAUCGUCAGGAACGCCGAUGGUGAAGACAGGUGACUGGGCCGGAACUGACACUGAGGCCACGAAAGCGUGG
rnacentral:rRNA from 1 species